CUAAUGUUCGUACUUAAGUUGAGUUGAUCUAGUUUUUGACUGAUCCUUCUUAUGUGGGAUAUUUUGCAAUUUGUACUGGCGACUAGCUCAUCAAGUAGAGUUACUUAAUUACUGAUGGUUGUCUUUGCACUCCCAAAAUACACAGUUUAGUUAUUCUCUGCCAUGGGCAUUGCAAAGUGUAAAGAUUCGGUGUGUUACUCAGGACUCAGUGUUGCCUACACGAUGGGCCUGAUAUUGCCUCCAACUCAGGGAAAUAUACACAAACAUUGCCCAUAUAUGCCACUGAACAAAGGAGUAGCUGGGAAAUUUUAUGCAAUCACAUGCAAUGGCGGCAGGCGGAAGCUGUGCAGGGCAUGGUGGCGGGCUUCGGCUUGAUUGAUUAGAAGCUUAACUGAAUUCUGAAUCAAUAGAAGAGUGCCUCUUGGAUGCUUCCUUAGUGAUGCAGCGUGAUUACAAUCAAAAGGUCAAACUUCCCUCCAUAUUGUUUACAUGGCCGGAUCUACAUAAAACUUUUGUCUCCGAAAGGUAGGCAUUUGUCUCCAACUAGUGAUGAUUAUUGAUGUGGUUUGUUCGAACAGAAGCACCGUUGAUUCCUUAGCUAAAUUUUGUUAUCGUGUAGAUCCAGGUGAUACCCCAUCAUAUCAUCUCUAUCUAGCUCUCUAUAGUUUGUGUAUAGCCUUACGAUCCCAUCAAUUAAUUUAUGUAGGGUACCAAUUGAUUUGUAAAUUCAAUGUACAUUCCGGAGGAGUGCAGCUAGGAUGAUGGCCUUUGUCUCUACGGCAUGAUUAGAAAUAAAAGGUUGAACUUUUGUGCAUCGUGUUUAUUUUCUUUUGGUACUUCUUUGGACUAAUGGCAUUCAUCCUCAUCCCAUCUGCAUUCUUCUUGUGUUUCUUUACAUUGAUUUGUCGAAUAGAAAGUGGCAAGAAGAUUACACUUUAGGGGAUUAUAACAUUAGUCUUCUUUGCUUUUGAAGUAGGUUGGAACUUUAUUUUAGUUACUUUAUUCUUUGGCCACAUGUGAUUCAUUUUUCUGAUCGAUUGUUCUCGAUAUAACAUUAUGCAUUCCAUUCUCAGGGACCGUAAGUGCUAACUUUGAUAGAAUAACACAAUGAGACAUAGUCUUCUAAUAUUGGGUCAGACACUGAGGAGGAUUCAUAUGAGUUUUGCGACACAUAUUUACGGGAAAAGGGUUUUCUGUUCAUUCAUCCAUUGCAUCGGUUGCUUAGUAGCUCUUUGCCUUAUUGUGCGAGAGGGAGCUGAUAUAGCACGGUGAUUUAAUUGUUCAAGUUGUAGAUUGUGUUGUUGUGUGGCCU